AGUGUGUCGUCAAACAACAAUCACGGACAUAGCUUUAUGUGCAGCCCACUGUGUUUCUAGGUUUAUGUAAGUAUGCUUUUAGGAUGCUGCAAAAUAACUAAGCCACCCAACAAUGUGCUUCUCACAGCCUCUCACUGAGUAAUACACGACUGUCAGAAGGAAGUCACAUAGUGUAGAUCCAGGGUUAUAAAAAUAAAUGUCUUAUAAAAGAGGAGGAAAAUGAAAUCUGCCUUAAAAUGAGACACUGGCUUAUUUCAAUAUAAAAAUUUGUAUAUACUUUGCUUCUUCCUUUAAUGUGUGAUGUAAACUUAAUAAAUGUUAUUUUUAUAUUUUUUCUUUGACCCUUUAAGUGCAUCAGAGAUAUUUCCAGAUGUUUUUGUGGCCAUUGUUUCUUUGGCAGAUAUUUAGAAAAAAGGUUAUAAGUUGAGUAUGUAAUUUUCCAUUUCUUUGCAGGUGUGGAUUCGCAGGAGAAACUGGUCCACGAUGUAUAAUUCCUAGUGUGAUAAAAAGAGCUGGCAUGUCUAAGGUAUUUUUUUUAAAACAAACAGAAAACUAUGGACUGGCAUGGUGGCUCAGUAUGGAAAGGUGCUUGUUGAACAAGCCUGGCAGUUGAGGUUUACGCUCGGAACCCACAUAAAGGUAGAAAGAGAGAACCACUUCCACAGAGUUGUCAUCCGACCGCCGCCACCCAAGGGCUGUGACACAUCAUAGAGCAUGCAUGCACACAUGCACACACACUAACAUUAAUAAGUACUAAGAUGUGAAAAUUAGAAAAAUAAAGUAAGAUACAAUUUCAAGAGUUUUUUUAAGUCAACUUUGUUGAGGCCUAAUCUUAUGUGGCAUGAAUUUAAUCAUGAUGUGCAACAACCAUAUAAUCCAGGAGAUGAACUAAGUCUAGAAUAUUUGAGGAAGCCUUUGCUACCUUUUGUUUUUAAAGAUUCUUUUUCUUUUUCUUUUUUUUUUUUUAAGAUUUAUUUUUACUUUGUGUUUUACCUGCACAUACUUAAGUUCCCUCCAAACAUGCAGUGCUCUUGAAAGCCAGAAGAGAGUGUCAGAUACCCAGGAACUGCUGUUACAGUUGUGGGCUACUGUGUGCUUGCUGGGAACCAAGCUCGAAUGUCUGUAAGAGCAGCCAGUGCUUGUACCUGUUCAGCCAUCUCUCCAGCCCUCUUUAUGCUUCUUAGGCAAUUCUAAGGGGUUUUGGUUUUGGUUUUGGUUUUUUGGUUUUUUGAGACAGGGUUUUUCUGUGUAGUCCUGGCUGUCCUGGAACUCACUCUGUAGACCAGGCUGGCCUCAAACUCAGAAAUCCACCUGCCUCUGCCUUCCACGUGCUGGAAUCAAAGGUGUGCGCCACCAAUGCCCAGCUAUUCUGAAUUUUUAUCAUUAGUCAUGCCCAAAUGAUAAGUCAGAUGAAGUAAGACAAAAAUCUUAUAAGCUCUGUUCUGUGUACUUACUUGUAGACACACACUUCUAUUUAUACCGUUAAAAUUACCUUCUCUUUUAUCCAUUGCCUGUUCAUUGAAAUCCCUAAUUGAAGAGAUUACCCUUUGUGGGGGAUAUUUGUUUUGUUUGGGUUGUUUUUUUUUUGUUUUGUUUUUUGUUUUGUUUUGUUUUAUGUUAUUUUUGAGAUAAAGUUUUGUCUAACUCAGGUUAGCUUGAUGACCUUAAACUUGGGUCUUCUGCCUGUUUUUAGGCAUGCACUAGCACAUCGAGUUUUAUGCAUUUAUGCAAUGUUGUGUUGAUCCCAGGGCUUUGCAUAUGCUAUGCACGUCCACCAGUUAAGCUACACUAAGGUUAAUCAGUUUUUAGUUUUUUAUAUUCUUAAUAUAAAUUUCAUUUAUGAUGAGAAAAUAUAUUAGUAAAUAAAAAGCACACAGUAUUGUUAAUAUAAGAAAUCAUUUUAAUUUUUUCCAGCCAAUCAAAGUUGUUCAGUAUAAUAUCAAUACAGAAGAAUUAUAUUCCUACCUAAAGGAAUUCAUCCACAUACUGUAUUUCAGGUAAGAUGAAACUUUAUUUCAGGGUUGGUUUUUCCCUAAUGGCAGUUAUAGGAGUGCUUGGUUAUUGCAUCUGAUACAAAAAAGAAAAUUGGAGUCCAGCGCCAGUUUUGUUUAUCUUCAACCUUUGGGUGUUUAAACUAUUUUUAAGAAUUUGUUUGUGGCUGUGCAUGUCUCUGGGUCCUGAGGUGUAUGGAGGUCAGAGGGUGCUUUGUGGACAUCAGUUCUCUCCUUCCACACCGGUCCCACGGGUCAAGCUCAGGCUUGGCUAUGUCUGCCUUCACCCCUGAGCCAUCUUGCCAUCUCUGUCUUUAGCCUUUGGAAAAACAUAGCUGAUGAUUAGAGAACUGAAAAUUGUAAGACAUUGAAGGCAAAUCAAGUGCCUCUUAAUAAAGGGACUGGCAGCCUGUGAAUAAACCUCAGCCAAGUCCUGUCUGUCCGUAAAAGACAGACAGACAGACAGACAGAUAAGUAAAUUGUGUACUAUCCAUAUGGUAAAACACUGUGCAGUUAUUAUUGGGGUCGGAGGCCUUUUGCUUAGUGGUACAGCACUUUCUGAUUAACUCUGAGACCUGUCAGCAAAAUAGGGUGGGUGGUUGUUCCAUAUCCAUAUGUAGUGAAUCAGAAAAAUAAGAUGUAUUAAAAAUGAAAAGAACACACUAAAGAACAACUAUAGAAUGCAUAUUCAUGCUUAAAUAUGUGUUUAUACAUCCAGAAUAAAAAAAUAAUAAAGAUCAUUUUUAAUACUUUCUGGGCAAUAAAUGGAUUAAACUCUUGUGGUUUCCAAGUUAAUGUCUAUUAUGACUGAAAUUUGUGAGCUUAUACUUACUACUUUUACAAAUUCACAAAAGAAAACCUCUGUGUAGUGGCUAAUGGUGGUAAUGAUAAUUAAUGGCUUUAGUUCCUGCUACAGCACUUAGCACAGUCUAAGAACUCAGAAACAUCGUAUUCCUGGAAGGAUAAAAUAAAGGCAUAUUUUUGUCAUAAAGCAUCUUAACAUAUGAAAAACAGUUUAUUCUUAACUUGCAUUACUUACCC
rnacentral:lncRNA from 1 species